rnacentral:lncRNA from 1 species
CUAGUAUCGCGAGAUCAGGAAGGUGGCCGAGUGUGUCGCCGCGGCCAUCAGGCACUUCUCCUUCCUGCCCUUGUAUGAAGAAGGAUGUGUUUGCUUCCCCUUGUGCCAUGAUUGUAAAUUUCCUGAGGCCUCCUCAGCCCUGCAGAACUGGCUAGAGCAAUGUAUCUUAGGCUCACUUAAGGAAGCUGUAGAGAUGAGCCCAAGGAGGGAAACCAGAAGAGCCCCCCAGGCUCACCAGUUGUUUGUUGGCUCCCUACAAACAUGUCAUUCAAGUGGCUAAUCUUACAACAGCACAAAUUCAUCUAACCAGAAAGAGAAGAGGAGGCUCCAAAGGCACUUGACUACUGAGCAUCACCCUGGACGUGUACAAGUCUGCGUCCUUAUUGUUUUCUUCAUUGGGCCGAACUUUCUGGUCCUCAUCCAACAGCUCUUCUAUCACGUGUUCGAAAGUGUCAGCCAAUGAUGUCAAGCCUCUUGAACCUGCCUUGGGCCCAUUCACGCUCUCCAGAGUCCCAUGGGUCCGCACACCUGGAGAUACUCUAUUAUAGCAAAGAAGAAAGAUAAUUUCAUUGAGCCAUCCUGUUUUACAGGAUUUUCCCUCCUGGUGAGUCAAAAUGAACAAGAAAUACCCCAGGACCUCCCUUCCCUCCUUGGCCAUUAAUGAGAUGAAGGCAAUUAACUCACAUAGUAUAAAUGAAUCAUUUGAGGUGAUGACUGCAUUUUAGGCAAAUGAUGACUUUCUUGGUUCCAUUGGUUUGCAAGUAAAAGUUACACACAUUGAAAAGACACUGAAACAGAUUUCCUAAAUGCUUCAUUUUCUGGAUGCACCAAUGUUGACCUACUAUACAUGUUAAAUGGUUUUAAAAUAUCACCUUAAAAUAAAGGAAACUUCCAGCUACUAACUCAGCUCUGAAUGGGCUAUGAAAGGCUCCAAAGGUAUGUGAAAAAUUACUGUUAUUUUGCUUUAAAAAAUGUGAUGUCUAAGAGUGUCUGCAAUGUUCUAAUGCUUCAAAACAUGUACGUAAGCCUUGUUUAUCUGGAAAUCAUUUCUUUCUGCUUAUAUCAUUUAUAAAUAGAAAAUGUUCUGUAAUAACUUAAAAUAGUUCCACAUACAUAAUGCUUUUAGUGUCAUAAUACUUACUACUGGUCUAUAUUUACCAACAUUUAUCACAUUUUACAAAAUGAAGUAGAAGAAAAAAAAGACAACGACUUUAUGGCCCUGGAAUUCCAGUAAUGGUGACCAACAUGUUUUAAAUUCCAGUAAAGGUUAUGGUUACAUUUCAACAAGUGUCUCUUUCCUUUUUUUUACCUCUCCUGCUAACCCAGAGGUAAAUUUCCCAAAAA